GGCGGGCUGGCGGGCUGGCUGCGCCUCGCCCCGCCGCUGCCUCCGCCUCCCCCACUCGCCGCUCGCUGCCGCUCGGCGCCUCCAUCCUGGUACUUGGGAUCUCCAUCCUGGUUUCUCAAGUGCCCGGACCCAAAACAGGAAGUUUGAGUAUGAGCACAGUUGAAGAAGAGUCUGACACAGUGACAGUAGAAACCGUGAACUCUGUGACUUUGACUCAGGACACUGAAGGGAACCUUAUACUUCAUUGCCCUCAAAAUGAAACUGAUGAAGUAGACUCCGAAGACAGCACUGAACCUCCACACAAGAGGCUUUGCUUAUCAGAGGAUGAUCAUAGCCUUGAUGAUUCCACUCCCUGCAUUUCUGUUGUUGCAGUUCCAAUUUCAGAAAAUGAUCAGAGCUUUGAGGUGACCAUGACUGCUACCACUGAGGUAGCUGAAGAUGAGAUUAAUGAAGGAACCGUUACUCAGAUACAGAUUCUUCAGAAUGAACAGUUGGAUGAAAUCUCCCCAAUGGGCAAUGAAGAAGUGUCAGCUGUUAGUCAGGCCUGGUUCACAACCAAAGAGGAUAAGGAUUCUCUAACAAAUAAAGGCCAUAAAUGGAAGCAAGGGAUGUGGUCGAAGGAAGAGAUUGACAUUUUGAUGAGUAACAUUGAGCGUUAUUUAAAGGCUCGUGGAAUAAAAGAUGCCACUGAGAUUAUAUUUGAAAUGUCAAAAGAUGAAAGAAAAGAUUUCUACAGGACGAUAGCUUGGGGUCUGAACCGGCCUCUCUUUGCUGUCUACAGAAGAGUUCUUCGCAUGUAUGAUGACAGAAACCAUGUUGGAAAGUAUACUCCUGAGGAAAUUGAAAAGCUUAAAGAGCUGAGAAUAAAGCAUGGUAACGAUUGGGCCACAAUAGGAGCUGCACUGGGGAGAAGCGCUUCAUCUGUAAAAGAUCGGUGUAGAUUGAUGAAGGAUACCUGCAACACAGGAAAGUGGACAGAGAAAGAAGAAAAAAGACUCGCAGAAGUAGUGCACGAGCUGACCAGCACGGAACCAGGUGACAUUGUCACACAAGGUGUAUCAUGGGCUGCCGUAGCAGAACGGGUCGGCACACGCUCUGAAAAGCAAUGUCGCUCUAAGUGGCUCAACUAUCUCAACUGGAAACAAAGUGGGGGCACUGAGUGGACCAAGGAAGAUGAAAUAAAUCUGAUCUUGAGGAUAGCGGAACUUGAAGUUUCUGAUGAAAAUGACAUCAAUUGGGAUAUACUAGCUGAAGGAUGGAGUAGUGUCCGCUCACCACAGUGGCUUCGGAGUAAAUGGUGGACCAUUAAAAGACAGAUUGCAAACCACAAAGAUGUUUCAUUCCCUGUGCUGAUAAAGGGUCUUAAACAACUCCAUGAGAACCAAAAAAACAAUCCGGGGCACCAGCUUUCGGAGAACAAGUCUGGAAGUGGAUUACCAAACACUAAUUCCAGUUCGGGGGUUCAGCACGUGCAGAUUCGAGUGGCUCGUUUGGAGGAGAGCGCAGGCAGCACACCCAGCACUGUGGCAGCUCUGCAGAUUCCCGUCCAGAUCACACAUGUCUCUUCAACCGAUUCCCCUGCUGCUACUGUUGACUCUGAGACAAUAACACUGAACAGCGGAACACUACAGGCCUUUGAGAUUCUUCCAUCUUUCCAUCUCCAGCCGACUGGCACACCAGGUACGUACUUACUGCAGACAAGCUCAAGCCAAGGCCUUCCUUUAACGCUGACAACAAGUCCUACCAUGACCCUCACGGCAGCUGCUGCUCCAGCCUCCCCAGAGCAGAUCAUCGUUCAUGCCUUGUCGCCAGAGCACUUGUUAAAUACAAGUGACAAUGUCACGGUGCAGUGCCACACACCAAGUGUCAUAAUCCGCACCGUCGCUGCUGAAGACAUCUCCUCCUCUGUCGCUCAGGCAGAACUCGCUGUUGAUUCAGACAUUCAGUCGGCUGACCUGACAGAUCCUCACGACACCCUAGAAACAAACACUUUCCCAGGUGAUAUCCGUCCACCCAAGCUGAGUGACGAAGAGCAGUCAGCCUACAAUGAAGAUGAUGCCUCCAAAUUCAGCGGCAGGAAUAGAACUGAACUGAUGGAUGGAAUUACAGUAAGAACUGAGAUUACAGAUGCAGACCUGAAACAGGAAGAGGAUUCUCACUCGGAUUUACCCAGCACUUAUGUUACUGAGGACCUGGGUUCUCCAACGAUAGAAGAACAAGUUGAUCAGCCUACAAUAGAUGAUGAGACUGUGCUUAUUGUUCCUUCUUCUCAUGGUUUUAUCCAGACAACGGAUGAUAUCGAUGGCGAAUCAGUCUUGCCCCUGACAACUCUAACAGAUCCUAUCCUGCAGCAUCACGGAGAUGGGUCACACAUUAUCGGCUCAUCGUUGGGCAGUCCCGCCUCGGAAGAUUCAAAGGACGUUGAAGAUUUAGUGAGCUGUCACUGAGAAGCAGUCAUCGUGUCCAUUUUCUAUUGACCGUGUUCACAUUGUGAAAUUAGUGACAACCCUGUGCCACAUUUCCAAAGAAAGUAGUCAGUCAGUGUCUUUAAACAGAAGCUUCCAGUUUGAAAUGACUACAGUGCACUUUCUCUGCUCAGGCUAUUUACCUCAUUUGUGAAGGGUUACAGGGCAGCAAACCGAAGCCUGAUGUCUCAGCCAGGGUGUUUCAGUGUUCUUAAAGAAUCUCUUGCAGUGCUCACUGCUGGGAUCCACGUGGUCAAUUCUGAUCUGACUCGUUCCUGGUGUGCUGAGCUGCACAUCUGGAAAACUGGACAGAAGUCAAGGAUUGUGGACCAUAGCCUCUUAGUGCCACAGCAAGAAUGAGUUUGCACAUGUUUCAUGAAGAAGGCGUGAGGAAUUCUGCACUUACUGACUGUUGUAAUACAUGGAGUAAGAGACUGUUACAUUUCAGGAAAAAAUGUAUUCCAUCGAGGACUUCAGGGAGCACAGGCAGCAUCCUGGAGAAAUGGUCUGUAUUCCCAUCUCGUCUGGUUUGUUAGUACAUCUGCGGCAUAGGAAGAAAAACACAGAUGCUUAUGGGACUUGCCAGGUCUGCUUGUUCCUGAGGACUCCGUUGCUGGCAACGGACAGAGCUCAGAAAGAUCACUUAUGGAUUUUUCUUUUUAAUUUUUUAUUUUCUUUCAUCACUACAGCAAGCUGAAUAAAAAGGGAAGGGCUAUGAGAAAGGGAAGCUACUGGGACUCACCAGCCUCCCCCCACAAGCUUGUAACUUCUUUGAAGACUGUUGUGAGUAGGCUGGAACAUUUGUCUCUCUCGCUGUUUACAUGACACUACCAGCCACCUCUCCAGAGGUGAUUUAUGCAGCAGGCUGAUUGUCCUCACUGAAAUGUCUCGAGCUGAGAGCUGAGCUGGAAGCAGUCUGGCCCAGGAGCAUCAUCACUGAGAUCCCCAUUGUCCGUCAUUUGCCCACUUCAUGGAAGUACAGCUCAGAGGCCCCAAGUCACAGCGGUGGCUGCAGCAGAGGGAAGUGACCGACCUCCAUGGGAAACUGUCACCAACACCCCUGUGCAAGGUCCUCGCCAGCCAGGCACAAAAACCUCCUCCACUCCAGCGUUUCUGCACACAGAGCAUUCCCACAGCCCCUGGGAGCCGUCUGUGAGGUACCUACCACCAACCCCAAAAAAUGAGCUAUGGGGAAUAACUCCAGGCAAGUAAUAGAAGCAACAAAAUGAAAUGCAACCACAUCACCUCCAUGAGACAUUAUCACAACAGCUCCACUGGGCUCCUCCACCUAAGCUAAAAUAAAUUAAUCAAAGAACUCGAAGCUAACUUUAAUCUAGACAGCAUGCGGUGGGGUCACCACCCCCAAAAGCAACUCCCGUAUCAGGAGAGGAUGGCGGUUUUGCUCUGCCCUUGCCCUGCAGACCCGGCUGAGCCCACCAAGGCGGUUCUGCAGAGGUGACCAGAGUUUGCAUUUGGGCUCAGCUCCUCAGAGAUGAAAGGAGUGCUCUCCAGACAGCCCGGCGGGGACGGACACACGGUCACAUACCUGUGGACAGGACACCCCAUCCAGAAACUCAGCCAUGAUUAGGUUUUUCCUAAUUAAUUACAGACUUGGGGGGUGGCAAUUUUAAGAUAGGCAGAAUUCACCUGUUUUGCCAGAACACAGACUGGUGUGCCAAGAGAAAACGAGGGGGUCAGACUCAGUGGUGACCGUGGAACAUUUCUCUGUCCCUGGUUUAUUGUAUACAGGAGAGAGUGUCCCCGCAGCACAGGGACCUCUCAUCUCAUGCCACCAAGUGAUGGACAUCGCGGCAGCAGCCAGAUUGGGUCAGGAUGCCAGCACGGAGCAGCUUGGCUGCGUGACAGCCAGUCCCUGCGGUCAGGGCAUCCCCUUCCCCGUGCUUAAAACCGCAGUCGCUAAAAUUUUCCAAGUGCGCCACCAGCAGAAGAAGGUAUUUCAGGAUCUAGGGAUUAGAGCCACUGAUCCUGAAAUCCCAGGCUUGGCAAAGCAGCGAGAGGCUGGAUGCCCUGGUGCCCGCUGACACUUCAGCCCCAGGCAGCUUAGCACAGCAAAAAGGUUAAAAAUACACAAGCAGAGGCCGAGACAGCUAAAGGGAUUGGGGAUGACGGAGCCUUUCACCUCCGCGCUGUGUCCGAGCGUGCAGCCCAACCCGGGCAGACACUUGUCGAUAUCGGACAAACAGAAACGGGCUGGGACGAGCCAUGUGUCCUACAAGCCAUGUCACCUGUCUGGCACAGCCAGCUCUUGCAAUCAGCACAGCUGAUUCUUGUCCAGCGUGACUGUAUAUUAUAUGACAGCUGCUAGAGUAAAAAGAUUAAGAAAAAAAAGGCAUCAUGCACAUCAAAGCAGUGAGUGUGCAGGCUGCUGGAGGUCACCUGAACGGGUGCAGGGCGCUCUCACAGGGACACCAACUUCUGUGUUUCAGUGUUGCACAAGCUGUAUUUCGAAAGAGGAGGGUUUCUGCCCUCUCCUCCUGCUCCACAGAGGGUGUUGCAGGGGCUGCAGGCAAAGGGCUGACCCCAGGGAGCUGCUGUGGUGCAGAGAUCUCCCUCCAGCUGCCUGGCAAGGGAGAUGUCAGGAAGCAUCAAGCCCACGCAAAGCUGGAGGACACAAUCCAGAAUCCUUUGAGCAACAGGGAACCCGAGCCAGGAGGACUGACAGUGUAUCCAACACCACCAUGCCUGCCAUGCAGGCUUUGACAGAGCAACAGCUUUGCUCUUUGCCCCAUUGCAGCUCGGCACGUUGCAUCCACCAAGUCAGCAGCUUGUGGGCUGAGCCCACGGGGAACAAGCUCCCAGCAGAGGCUCGGCCAGGAGAAGGGGAACGGGCUGGUCCCCUGGAGGGUGGGUACCUGGUGGCAUCUCUGCAGGCGUGAUGGAAAAGCCAUUUUUAUGCCUUACAUCAGCAAGUCCAGAUGGUCAGCAGCAAUGGCAGCGAGACGCCAGCCCAUUGCAGGGACACCUUAACCUAGUGCCAGAUUGAACUACGUGGAAUAGCAGACAGUCCUGGGCAGAACAGGAGUUGGACUCGGUGAUCCUGGUGGGUCUCUUCCAACUCAGAAUAGAUUAAGUACAUUAAGUAAAUUCAUUCGAAAGGCUGGAGAGAGUUGUCUGAGCACGGAGUGCAGUAGGGGUAAAGCUAUCAGAGAUCACAGAUUCAGAGAGUUGUACAAUAGUUUGGGUUGGAAGAGACUUUCAAGGUUCAUCCAGUCCCACCCCUGCCACGAGCAGGGACAUCUUCACCCAGAUCAGGUUGCUCAGAGCCCCGUCCAGCCUGGCCUGGGAUGUCUCCAGGGAUGGUUCAUCCACCACCUCUCUGGGCAACCUGGGACAGUGUUUCACCACCCUCAUUGUAAAAAAUUUCUUCCUCGUGUCCAGCCUGAACAACCAGCUGCUUAUAUUUAAUGUUCCCAUCACAGGGGAACCCAAACAGCUUCUACUUUCAUCAAGAAGUUCUGCAUCUGUAACACUCACUCUCCUCUUUACCACCUUACCGCUCGUGCCUUUGCUUUGUAUCAUCUCAUACCCGCUCGCUGCCAGUGCUGCAUCCCUGGUAACCACAGCUGAAUCCACAGCGCUUGGCAUUCAUCAGCAUCAGCUUCCUACACACCCCUCUUUGGUCCCAGCGUGCCCACAACCUCUGCUUGCCAGCCAGCACAGGGGGGUGAGCUUGGCAGGAGCAGCCACAGCAGGGGAAGAACAUCAAUGCUGCUGCUCAGCUCUCAUCCCCAUAGGGUGGCUUUAGCUCUAAAGCCACCAGCUUGGAAACCAGGAGAGCCUAAGAAGACAAUGAGAAGGCAUCUCCAUCUCUACAUCCAUCUCCAACCACCGGCAAGGGUACCAGACCCUGGUUUGGGUGUAGGGCUCCCUGGUGCAGGAGCACUGCCCCUGUCCCUCCCCAUGGCCUUGUGCCCAGCCCAAGCUGAGGGGCCCAGUUUGCCAGCACUGGCCAUUGCUUGCAGACACCCAAAACUGGAGCCACAGCACAGGGAGAUGCGCUUCUCCAGGCAGACCUGCUCCUAUUUUAAGGCAAAGUUCAGCUUCGCCAUUUCCGAGAUGGACCGUUUCCAGCUCCGGAUCUCACCAGCAUCCAUCUCCAAGCAACCCCAGUGAAUCAUGGAGGAAACCACCCCAAGCCAGCACAGAGAUCCCUUGUCCACUGGACACGGGUAUGGCACGGAGAGGCCACCGGUCCCACAUGGAGAUAGGCAGGGGUGAUGAGCAGGACACCAGAUCCCCGCUCAAUCCCAGGAACUGAUAUCAGCAUCGCAUGUUUAUUAUUUACAGCUCUCGUCUGCAAGCAGAGCUGUAGCCAGAAAGAGAUGGGGGUCAGGGAUGGAGGGUUUGACCUGGGCUGGGAACUCUGGCGUUCACCUGCUGGGAGAGCUGUCUAGCUCCAACAGCACAUCCCAGUCCCCAGCAGUCCCCAUCCCUGGACGCUUCCCAAAAUCCCUGGUCAAGAAGUGGCCAACACAACUCCAGCAAAGGUCCCCUCGCCUCCAGCGCUCCCCAUCAGGGCUGGCACCCACUACCACGGGAGAACUGUUCCCCCUCAAUUCAUCCCCUCGGAGGUCCCACCUGUCCUCCUCCUAUCCCACAUCAUCUUUUUUCUCCCCCCUAAUUUGGCUGGUAUCACUUCAUUUACGUGUUUAUUAAAUGUUAUAAUUUUA